UAGCCAAUGAGGAAAUCAAUUAUUCAUACCAUCUUUCGGGACUGAAUGGCUUUUAUGCCUUGCUGAUAUUCUGCAAUUCUGAGGCUA